rnacentral:snoRNA from 2 species
CUGCACUGGUCGUUGACCAGCUGGUCUUUCCCUGACCUCCUUGGUAUCAUUCCAGUGCGAGAGAAAUUUCCUUCUAGCAGAAGGGCCGGGCUCUUGUCAUGGUCUGUCCCUUUCGAAAGCUGGGUACAAGC